AGGACAUGGAAAUCAGAGUACAAGAUACGGGGUUAACUACUCCGGUAGGAAAAUCUGAAUGGAUUGUGGAGUACGUACACAAACUUAAAAAAGUUUAAAAGUUAAAGAAUUUGGAAGUUUAUCGUAUGCAACUAUCGUUAUCAAAAUAUCUAUAUCUGCAGAAAUUGUAGAACUGUACAAAUAACUAUGUGUGAUUCAUGUGGAUAGCGUUAAGACAAUUGGAAUUGAGAUCUUGAUCCUGGGGGAAAACGAACGGCACAUGGCGGACAACUCACCUUCUUCCUUGCAACUCAAUGAUUUGUUCGAUUGGAGUUUACAAAGCAAAGUGAAAUACAUUAGCAAGAACAAAAGGCACAGACAUCGACUACACAUAUCUAAAACAAGCAUGGAAAAAAGUGCCAAGCUGUAGUAAACUUAUAUAGAAGUGAGGAUAGAUUGAAAGAGCUGCAGGAAAAAGAAAGAAAAUAUCACGAAACUGCAUGUCUAGAAAUAGUAGCGAUUAUCAAUAAUUUGAUAUCGAGUACAAGUAUAAUCUGCAAAAAAUAUUUCGACUUUUAGGUAACACCAGCUUGAAGAUUUCAAACGACCUUUAAUGGAAAAUAUUUUUGAGUAAUGAAAAUAACAAAGAUAUUUUGAAAAAAGUUGUCGCGUAUAUACCUACACCAGUUAUCCUUAUAAUAGUUGACACUAAUUAUUAUAACAAAGAAUUUAUUAGAUUAAUAUUUAUUACUUCUAAGAAUUUUCUCCUUGAAGGCAUCUUAUCACCACACUAAAACAGUAAUCAGAAAUCUCAAAAGUUUAGAACCUGGUAUAAACUAACAAUAUGUAAAUUUCUCUAAAAACUCUCAAUAAACAUCUCCUGGGAAGUUUUGAAAACCUCUUAAA